rnacentral:tRNA from 1 species
GCCGGGAUUGCAGAGUGGUACUGCGCUGGUCUGGAGAACCAGUGUCCGCAAGGACGCGAGGGUUCAAUUCCCUCUCCCGGCG